UACGAAGGGGGCUAGCGUUGCUCGGAAUCACUGGGCGUAAAGGGUGCGUAGGCGGGUCUUUAAGUCAGGGGUGAAAUCCUGGAGCUCAACUCCAGAACUGCCUUUGAUACUGAGGAUCUUGAGUUCGGGAGAGGUGAGUGGAACUGCGAGUGUAGAGGUGAAAUUCGUAGAUAUUCGCAAGAACACCAGUGGCGAAGGCGGCUCACUGGCCCGGUACUGACGCUGAGGAGCGAAAGC
rnacentral:rRNA from 1 species